rnacentral:ncRNA from 1 species
GUAAAGUUUUAUUCUUGCUUAGUAUUAAAUACUUUUAUUUUAUAAAUACAUGUUUAUAUAGAUUACUGAUUUGUAUUAUUUAAAUUUAUUUAAUUUUUAUAGAUGUAAUAGAAAUAAAAAUAAAAAUGGUAAAAAUUGUGCCAGCAACUGCGGUUAAACAAUUGUUUUGAUUUAAUAUUGUAUAAGUUUUAAUUUUUUGAUUUUUUUUUAAAAUAAUUGUUUUAUUUUGAGUGAAAUUUAAUAAAAUAAAUUUGGGUAUAAAAUUUAUAAAUUUAAAUAAAGUAAUGUUAUAAACUAGGAUUAGAUACCCUAUUAUAAUUAAAGUAAAUUAAAAAUUUAGAGUAGUAAAUGUUAGAAUCAGGAAACUUAAAGAAUUUGACGGUGUUUAUUCAAAAUAAAGGAAUAUGUUUUUUGAUCGAUGAUCCCCGUUUAUUCAACUUAAAUUAUUGUGUUUUGUAUAUCUCCGUCUUAAAAAAUUUUUUAAAAAUAUAUUUUUAUUUUUAGUAACUAAAAAAAGUCAGGUCAAGGUGCAGAAUAUAUUUAAGUUAAAAUGUAUUACAAUAAAGGUAUUUACGGAUUUUAUUAUGAAAAAUUAAAUUAAGUUGGAUUUAUUAGUAAAUCAAUUUAAAUAAUAAUUGGUUGAAUUAAGUUAAUAAAUAUGUACAUAUUGCCCGUCAUUCUCUUUUAAAUAGAGACAAGUCGUAACAAAGUAGAUUUACUGGAAAGUGAAUCUGGAUUCAAGA